GACGAACGCUGGCGGCGUGCUUAACACAUGCAAGUCGAACGGAAAGGCCCUGCUUUUGUGGGGUGCUCGAGUGACGAACGGGUGGGUAACACGUGAGUAACCUGCCCUUGACUUUGGGAUAACUUCAGGAAACUGGGGCUAAUACCGGAUAGGAGCUCCUGCUGCAUGGUGGGGGUUGGAAAGUUUCGGCGGUUGGGGAUGGACUCGCGGCUUAUCAGCUUGUUGGUGGGGUAGUGGCUUACCAAGGCUUUGACGGGUAGCCGGCCUGAGAGGGUGACCGGCCACAUUGGGACUGAGAUACGGCCCAGACUCCUACGGGAGGCAGCAGUGGGGAAUAUUGCACAAUGGGCGGAAGCCUGAUGCAGCAACGCCGCGUGCGGGAUGACGGCCUUCGGGUUGUAAACCGCUUUCGCCUGUGACGAAGCGUGAGUGACGGUAAUGGGUAAAGAAGCACCGGCUAACUACGUG
rnacentral:rRNA from 1 species